rnacentral:tRNA from 1 species
GGGCCUUUAGCUCAGCUGGGAGAGCGGUUGGCUGGCAGUCAACAGGUCGCAGGUUCGAUCCCUGUAAGGUCCACCA